rnacentral:tRNA from 1 species
GGGAGCGUCGUCUAAUGGCAGGACAGCAGAUUGUUAAUCUGCCUGCGCAAGUUCGAUUCUUGCCGCUUCCG